rnacentral:rRNA from 1 species
GAUGAACGCUGGCGGCGUGCCUAAUACAUGCAAGUCGAGCGAACAGACGAGGAGCUUGCUCCUCUGACGUUAGCGGCGGACGGGUGAGUAACACGUGGAUAACCUACCUAUAAGACUGGGAUAACUUCGGGAAACCGGAGCUAAUACCGGAUAAUAUAUUGAACCGCAUGGUUCAAUAGUGAAAGACGGUUUUGCUGUCACUUAUAGAUGGAUCCGCGCCGCAUUAGCUAGUUGGUAAGGUAACGGCUUACCAAGGCAACGAUGCGUAGCCGACCUGAGAGGGUGAUCGGCCACACUGGAACUGAGACACGGUCCAGACUCCUACGGGAGGUAGCAGUAGGGAAUCUUCCGCAAUGGGCGAAAGCCUGACGGAGCAACGCCGCGUGAGUGAUGAAGGUCUUCGGAUCGUAAAACUCUGUUAUUAGGGAAGAACAAAUGUGUAAGUAACUAUGCACGUCUUGACGGUACCAAAUCAGAAAGCCACGGCUAACUACGUG